rnacentral:rRNA from 1 species
ACGGGUGAGUAACGCGUGGGAAUCUACCCAGAUCUUCGGAACAACUGAGGGAAACUUCAGCUAAUACCGGAUACGCCCUACGGGGGAAAGAUUUAUCGGUUCUGGAUGAGCCCGCGUUGGAUUAGCUAGUUGGUGAGGUAAUGGCUCACCAAGGCGACGAUCCAUAGCUGGUCUGAGAGGAUGAUCAGCCACACUGGGACUGAGACACGGCCCAGACUCCUACGGGAGGCAGCAGUGGGGAAUAUUGGACAAUGGGCGAAAGCCUGAUCCAGUCAUGCCGCGUGAGUGAUGAAGGCCUUAGGGUUGUAAAGCUCUUUCAGUAGGGAAGAUAAUGACGGUACCUACAGAAGAAGCCCCGGCUAACUUCGUGCCAGCAGCCGCGGUAAUACGAAGGGGGCUAGCGUUGUUCGGAUUUACUGGGCGUAAAGCGCACGUAGGCGGAUCGUUAAGUCGGGGGUGAAAUCCUGGAGCUCAACUCCAGAACUGCCUUCGAUACUGGCGAUCUUGAGUCCGGAAGAGGUGAGUGGAACUCCUAGUGUAGAGGUGGAAUUCGUAGA